CUUGUGCUUCAUUCCUCUCAUGAACCCUCAAAGGAGUCAAGGAAAAGGUUUGCUCUUGAUUCCUUGGGCAGGAUACCACCAGUAGAACUCUGGACUCCACCGUGAACGGAGAACACACUCCUCGUCUGUACAGACCGACACCGACGUAACUUCCACAGCCAGACCGGACACGGAGCAUGAGGGUGAACUAUAGUGCUGCGGUUUGGUGUUAGUGGGGACCUAAAACUUAAGUGUAAUGGGAAUUUCUGAACUUGUGGUGGCUUGUGACUCCCUUUUGGUGGAAAUUGGAGUGGGACUGGCUUGGAAAUUAGAGUGGGACAAUAAUUUGUAAUGUGAUGGGUGUCAUGUGAUAAAACUAUGAACUAAUGUAAGAUAUCAGAUUAUCAAUAAAUAAUACGGAAUUUAAAAUGUUGUA
rnacentral:lncRNA from 1 species